AUUGAACGCUGGCGGCAGGCCUAACACAUGCAAGUCGAGCGGGGUUUUCGAACCUAGCGGCGGACGGGUGAGUAAUGCGUAGGAAGCUACCCGAUAGAGGGGGAUACCAGUUGGAAACGACUGUUAAUACCGCAUAAUGUCUACGGACCAAAGUGUGGGACCUUCGGGCCACAUGCUAUCGGAUGCGCCUACGUGGGAUUAGCUAGUUGGUGAGGUAAUGGCUCACCAAGGCGACGAUCCCUAGCUGGUUUGAGAGAAUGAUCAGCCACACUGGAACUGAGACACGGUCCAGACACCUACGGGAGGCAGCAGUGGGGAAUAUUGGACAAUGGGCGCAAGCCUGAUCCAGCCAUGCCGCGUGUGUGAAGAAGGCCUUCGGGUUGUAAAGCACUUUCAGUAGGGAGGAAGCGUUGUGUGUUAAUAGUACACAGCGUUGACGUUACCUACAGAAGAAGCACCGGCUAACUCUGUGCCAGCCGCCGCCGUAAUAC
rnacentral:rRNA from 1 species